rnacentral:lncRNA from 1 species
UAUAAAAAGGGCAUUCCCAUGCCUUGACACACAUGUUUGGAAGCCUAAAUUUCCCCAAAAAUCCAUCUUCAAGUUUCAGAUAUGAGAAUCCAAAUUCUGAGAUCCAAAUCUUCUUCUAGUUCGUAGUCAAAACAAAAAAUCCAAAAACAAAACAAAAAUGCAGUAAAAAAUCAACAAAAGUAGUGUUCCAUUAAACUUUUGGUUCAAUUUCGAGUUUCAGUAUAUGCUUUUGAUCUUAUAGCUUGAUUUUAAUUUGCUGAAGUUCUCCGGAGGUCCAUUGGUCCAGUUAUGGAUUAAUCCGAUUUCAAUUGGGUCAAUUGAGAUUGUUUAUUAUUGCAGUUGGUUUCUACAAUUUUCUGGGAUGUUAUAUAAGUGUGUUUCUGGUUGGAAACUGAUUUCCCAGUUGGUUUAGAGCCAAUUUGAUGUUGCUGUGUGAUACUUCUAUUUGUUCCUGGUUGCUAACCUCUCCUUUUCUUAUUAUACUUCAAUAUCCAGGUACACUUCCUGUUUCAUAGAGAUGUAGAGUUGAGAAAGUGAAAUGAAAUGGCAGCUGCAUUAAGCUUAAGUGUCUUCUAUUUUCUGUUCAACUGCAUUACUAUAAUUUGUACUACUAGACUCUUAUUUGGACUUGUGUGAUCGUGUUGGUAAUUAGGGAUAAAUUGAAGUAUUAUUAGCACUGUUAACAAAUCGCAUUUGGAACUCAGCAUAAAUAAGAUUAUUACAUGUUGUAUCCUAAGGGUAGUUAAUUCCACGCUAGGUGGAUGAAACAGUUUCAUAGAAAUUUGUUCAUUGUUUUAUCUAUGUAAGCAUGUAUAAUAUCACGUGAGCAGCAUCUUCAUAAAGAACACGUUUGGAUGGCAAUUCUGUCAAUUAGAAUUGAUUUCACGUUUAAACAAUUAAUCUCAAUAGUUUAGGUUACUUGAUUCAAAAAUAGUUGGCGGCUUUGUCAAAUCAUGCUCCAGCUCAUUUCUCUCUUUAGAAGUAUCUAAGAAAUCGUCAGAGUACAAGU